ACGAAGGGAGCUAGCGUUGUUCGGAAUCACUGGGCGUAAAGCGCACGUAGGCGGACUUGUCAGUCAGGGGUGAAAUCCCGGGGCUCAACCUCGGAACUGCCUCUGAUACAGCAAGUCUUGAGUCCGGAAGAGGUGGGUGGAAUUCCUAGUGUAGAGGUGAAAUGCGUAGAUAUUGGGAGGAACACCAGUGGCGAAGGCGGCUUUCUGGACUGCAUCUGGCGCUGAGGCGCGAAAGCCAGGGGAGCGAACGGGA
rnacentral:rRNA from 1 species